rnacentral:rRNA from 1 species
UACGGGGGGGGCAAGCGUUGUUCGGAAUUACUGGGCGUAAAGGGCUCGUAGGCGGCCCUCUCAGUCGGAUGUGAAAUCCCCAGGCUUAACCUGGGAACGGCAUUCGAUACUGCCGUGCUUGAGGACUGGAGAGGAGACUGGAAUUUACGGUGUAGCGGUGAAAUGCGUAGAUAUCGUAAGGAAGACCAGUGGCGAAGGCGGGUCUCUGGACAGUUCCUGACGCUGAGGCACGAAGGCCAGGGGAGCAAACGGG